CUGGGACUCCGCAUUUGGGUGGAUGCUGGGUAGACUAGCGGUUUCCAAGAAAAGUGCUUUAUGAAGAACACUUUAUAAAGUGAUGGUGAUAAACGCUUUCAAAAUAUUUCAAAGAACUGAACCAAGAAGGUAUUUAGGUGGAUCCUGCUCAAGAAGCCCCUCGGGAGAAAUCAGAGGAACACCGAUUGACUUAAAAAGUAACUCCUCAUAUGUUAUUUAGGCCCUUUUUUUUUUUCAGAGCAUCACUGGAAAUCAGGGAAAGGGUUUCUUUCCCAUAUGUCAACUCAAGCUGAUACCUUGAGUAUCAGGGGCCUUGUACCCUGAUACAGUAGCAGGGGCCCUGCUCUUCGCCCAUUUCAGUAGGAGUUGUUUAUACACAAGUCAAGCCAUUUGGGUUGUUACAGGCUUAGAUAAACGUCUCACUGUAGGGUGGACCCUCAGAGUUCCAUUAGGCAGCGAGAAGGAAAGAAAGGUAAGAUGACCCCACCAGUUUAAGUAGGGGGUGCAUGCCUUUUCAAUCAAGACACCUGAGCCCACAUUGUGGUUUGUCUUUCAUUAAUCAAGGGAAGUUGGGCAAAUCAUUCAAACCCCUAUGUCUCUUUCCUCCUCUGUAAAAUAAAGCUCUACAUUAGAUUUCCCCCAGAUAAUAAGGUCACUAUUAACUUAUUCUUAAA